CUUGACUGUAUCUUGGAAUUGGGUUCGGGCUUUUCUUGCGCAGUCUAGGUGGGAGGCUAUGAAGAUUUCCUUCCGGGGAAGUUGGAGCCAUCAGUGAGAGACCACUCUGGAGAGGCUAGAAUCCUAAUGGUGACCCUUGAAUCAGGACACUUGACAGUUUCAGGUGGGCAGUUUUUCUGGGGCGGAAGCCUCAUAAAGGGUAACUGAGGCGCGCAAAGGUCCCCUCAGUCUGGACGGAAAUCAGACAACGAGUGUGAAGGCAAAAGGGGGCUUGACUGCAAGACCUACAAGUCGAGCAGGAGCGAAAGCUGGCCUUAGUGAUCCGACGGUACCGCGUGGAAGGGCCGUCGCUCAACGAAUAAAAGUUA
rnacentral:rRNA from 1 species